UACAGAGGGUGCGAGCGUUGUUCGGAAUUAUUGGGCGUAAAGGGCGCGUAGGCGGUUGAGUAAGUCACCUGUGAAAUCCCCCGGCUUAACCUGGGAACUGCGUCUGAUACUGGAGGGCUUGAGUAUGGGAGAGGGAUGUAGAAUUCCAGGUGUAGCGGUGAAAUGCGUAGAUAUCUGGAGGAAUACCGGUGGCGAAGGCGGCAUCCUGGACCAUUACUGACGCUGAGGCGCGAAAGCUACGGGGAGCA
rnacentral:rRNA from 1 species